GCUGGUCCCAUGUGAUUCUUCUUCUCUGUGAUUUCAACAUGGAAGAGUAAUGUGGUAGUUUCAUACGUCCCUAGAUUCCAUCACAUCCCUUCUGGAAGGCAUUGUUGGCAACUAUUGCGAUGCGUAUCUUAAAGGAGUUCUAAAUAGUUCAUCAUAGUUUGGCAGAUGCUAGAUUAGGGAUGGCAAAGGUACGGAUCAGGAGGUGAAAAUCGU
rnacentral:misc_RNA from 1 species